rnacentral:tRNA from 1 species
GCGGCCAUAGUCUAGUGGUAGGAUGUCAGCCUUCCAAGCUGAAGACCCGGGUUCGAAUCCCGGUGGCCGCA